UACGUAGGGCGCAAGCGUUUGUCCGGAAUUAUUGGGCGUAAAGAGCUCGUAGGCGGUCUGUUGCGUCCGCUGUGAAAACUCGGGGCUUAACCCCGAGCCUGCAGUGGAUACGGGCAGACUAGAGGUAGGUAGGGGAGAAUGGAAUUCCCGGUGUAGCGGUGAAAUGCGUAGAGAUCCGGAGGAACACCAAAGGCGAAGGCAGUGUCCUGGGGAGUACCUGACGCUCAGGUGCGAAAGCCAGGGGAGCGAACGGG
rnacentral:rRNA from 1 species